AGAUCAUCAAAAGAAAAGGAGAAACCAAUUAGAGGAAGUCGUGGGAUUAGUAAAAAGAUGGCCAAGGCUUUACAUAUCUUUCUCUUCAUUGUUCUCCUCAUCUUAGUGGAAGUGACGAUGGUGGCGAAGAAGGUGAAUGGUAAGGAACCAUGUAUGCAAAUAUGGCGUGGCUGUGGCAGAGACUGUGCCAUAAAAUGUCAAUCUGCAGCACGAGGACCUCAUGCCAAGAGUUCUUGUCAAGUACCCCCGGGGGAACACGACUUGUUUUGUGUAUGCAAAUGGAAAUGUUGAUCUCUCUUUACAAAUGGUCAUUAAUAAAAAUAAAUAAACUCUCUCUCU